AAGGAAGGGGGUUGGGGCGACCCGAAAAUGGAAAUUCGUUUACAGCACAAGAUGAAGUAAACACGACUAACUCCAAACGACGGGCUUUAUAGGCUGUAUUAAAAAAAAAAAAAAAAGAAAAGAAAAGAAAGAGAAGCAGCGAGACGUACCGGAGGAGGAGUGAGAAUAGAGGAAUAUAUAAAGAAAGGAGGGGGGUGUGCACUGUGACACUGUGCAGUUGACUACAUAGAGAGAGAGAGAGAGAGAGAGUAGCCCGCCGGCCCAUUGAGGAAAGAUGGCUACAGUCACUGCAAACGGAGUGCAGCAGGAGAAUGGAUUCAGCACCACGAACAGCGCCGGCAGGAUGAACGGGCUUACCAUCGGCCAGAACACCAUUCCAAUGAAGGACCACGACGCCAUCAAGCUUUUCAUCGGGCAGAUUCCCAGAAACCUGGAGGAAAAAGACCUGAAACCCCUGUUUGAGGAAUUCGGAAAGAUAUAUGAACUCACUGUACUGAAAGACAGGUUUACGGGAAUGCAUAAAGGAUGUGCCUUUCUAACAUACUGUGCCAGAGAGUCAGCACUGAAGGCCCAAAGCGCCCUCCAUGAACAGAAGACGCUGCCAGGGAUGAACCGACCCAUUCAGGUGAAGCCAGCCGACAGCGAAGGACGGGGAGAAGACAGGAAGCUGUUUGUAGGAAUGCUCGGCAAGCAACAGAGCGAGGACGAUGUCCGGCGGCUGUUCGAGACCUUCGGCCAGAUUGAGGAGUGCACCGUCCUUCGAGGGCCUGAUGGGGCCAGUAAGGGCUGUGCUUUUGUCAAGUUCUCGAGCCACGCAGAAGCGCAAGCCGCCAUCAACAGUUUGCAUGGUGGACAAACUAUGCCUGGUGCCUCGUCCAGCCUGGUGGUCAAAUUUGCAGACACUGAUAAGGAGAGGACCCUGCGCAGAAUGCACCAGAUGGCAGGCCAGCUCGGCAUCUUCAGUCCCAUGACCAUCCAGUUUGGGGCCUAUGGCGCCUACUCUCAUGCUGUAAGUCUCAGCCCAGCGGGAGAGGAGACGCAGAUGAUGCAACAGCAAGCAGCCCUGAUGGCAGCAACACAAGGGUCCUACCUGAACCCCAUGGCAGCCAUUGCUGCCGCGCAAAUGCAGCAAAUGGCAGCUUUCAAUGUCAAUGGCCUGGUGGCUACUCCUAUGACACCGUCCUCAGGCACCAGCACACCCCCAGGCAUUUCUGCUACAGCCGUGCAAAGCAUAGCCACACCUAUUGGGGUCAACGGAUUCAGUGCUCUCCCGCCUCAAAGCAAUGGCCAGCCUACGUCGGAGCCCAUCUACACCAACGGCAUCCAUCCUUACCCAGCACAGAGUCCAACGGUGACCGACCCUCUCCAACAGGCUUAUGCUGGCGUCCAGCACUACGCAGCAGCCUACCCUGCCGCCUAUGCGCCAAUCAGCCAAGCGUUCCCCCAGCAACCGACCAUCAUUCCCCAGCAACAGAGGGAAGGGCCGGAAGGUUGCAACCUGUUUAUUUAUCACCUGCCCCAGGAGUUUGGAGAUGCUGAGCUCAUGCAAAUGUUCCUUCCUUUCGGCAACGUCAUCUCUGCCAAAGUCUUUGUGGACCGAGCCACCAAUCAGAGCAAAUGCUUUGGCUUUGUGAGUUUCGAUAACCCAUCCAGUGCUCAGGCCGCUAUCCAGGCUAUGAAUGGCUUCCAGAUAGGCAUGAAGAGGCUGAAGGUGCAGCUAAAGCGGCCAAAGGACGCCAACCGACCUUACUGACUCGUCUGCUGUCCAUAAACAGUGUGAGGUGGCCUUUCUCCGCUAUAGCCACACACCCCACCGACACCUGUCAUGGGGCCAAGUUCCCACAGCUGAUGAAGGGCCACAACACCUUAUUUCCACAAGUGCAGUAAAAGUACAAAGACUCCUCGUUCUGCUACAUAUCAUGAAGAAAGGGUGGUCCCUUGAUCCUCCUGGAAAGCCGCUGAAAGAUUGGGUGAUUGAAAGAAGGAUCCUAGAGUUGUUGUUUUUUAUUAUCAUUUUAGUUUUUUCUUUCUUCGCAAAUGCCUCUCUUUUCCCUUUUUUGCUUUGGCAUCUGUGGAAGAAGAUUUUUUGCAGAGACCAACUUUUUGCUGCUGUUUUUUAGACAUGAUGAAAAGAAAAAAAACUUUAUAGACUCAUUAUGCUCAAAGCAUGCAUACUGACACAGGAUACAGAUAAACUCACUUAAAAAAUAUAUUAAAAAAAAUAAACCAAACAUACAAGAAAUUAAACAAGCUGCACUUAAUGAAUGAAAAAACUAAAAAAAAGACUCUGUACAUGUAUAAAUACGUGCAAAUGCCAACACAAGAACUGAAGCAAAUCCAUGCGCACGCACACCCCCACACACUAAUAUACACAAACACACACACACCAGCCUGCUGCCAUUUUGGUUUUUGUGCCUACACAGGUGUUGUGCUCUGUGACAGGGCAAGCUCUGCAUCGAAGUGGAAAAACAAGAAGAAGAAAAGGAGAGGAGUGGGGAAAUCCAGGAUAAUUUACAUGCAUCAUUCCUUAGGAAUAGGGACCAAAGGACUAAAUGCUUUUUAAAAGAUUAUAAAUAUAUAAAUAUAUAAAUAUAUAUUUAAAAACUCAUACCUUGUAGCUGCAAGUAUUUACUCAUAGUGGAAAAAAAGAAUCAUUAAAUCAAUAUCCAGUGGCUUUCUGUAAGAAUGGAUAAAAGAAAAUGGAAAUAAUGUAUUAAAAAAAGACAUGGAGUCGUAGUAUAGGGGCUGAUCUUUUGCUCUGGAUGCUGAUUUUAGCAGCAGGUUGUAGAAUAGUGAUGUAUACUAGAAAAAAAGUACAUUUGCAAAUUUUUGCUGUUGUUAAAAAAAAAUCAUUUAAUUUCCCAUUAAAAGUUGGUGAAAGACGGAGUAACAAAAACAUUUAUCCACGCCUUUGGACGGCACAUUCAUUUAUUUUUUUCUUAGAUGUAAAGGUAACAGCCACUGGAUAUCCCACUCAUCAUGAUGUAUAAGGCACUGCACUCUGACAGCUAAAGAGACUGAUCUAGCAGACUAAAAAGGAAAACAAGAGACAAAGAAGACUGAACUCCGUGAUGUCUGUGCUGGACAGCGUGCAGAUAUUUAAGGCUUUUCACUGGCCUUUGUGUUCAAGCGACAAUCCACUGUAAAGACCAAGUCAAAUGGACAUGGGGUGUCUUUUUUCCCUCUCUUUCUGUUCAUUCUCCUUGACCUUUUGUAUUGCAUCAUGAAGUGUAUAUCUUGAAGCCACACAUGAUUGAAAUUAGAUGGAUAAAAGGCAGAUAGAUGACCAUGAAGAGAAGAGCGAAAAAGCACGAGAGGAGGAGUAGGGCAACAGCUACUGAAACUGCCAAGAGAAUGAACUGUGUUUAGCAAUGAACUAACCUUGUGGUUCUCUCCUCAAGUUAACGCCGAAGAAAAAAAAAAGCAGGGACAUCUGAAUGACAAGGCUAGGCUGUCUGUGUCUAGCAGAGGCGUUGCAAUUUAUAGUGACAAAAGUUUCAUCUUAUUAGUUAGCUGAUAAAAAUUAACACAAAUUUAAGGGUCAUUUAGCUCAGCUGAACCUAAAUUAUACAAAUUUUACUUUAAACAUAUUCCCUGACCAUUUCCCUUUAUAAAACAUGGAAAAAGCAACUGCUUAAACAGACUAAAUCUAUGAAAUGUAGGAACCACUCAUCUUCCUCCCUCAACUCAUCCAUAGCUUUUCAGAGUAAAGCACUCUUGUGCUUUCACUUUUUGAUUUAAAGUCCUGUUGCCUUUUUUGACUGUUUUAGAGCUGUACAUGUGGACUCCUCUGUAAAGCCCAAUCAAUAUGUUUGGAGUCGGGGAGGAGCGCUGGUUGUUUUCAGUCACUAUGAGCACUUCCUGAUUUGCUCUGCAGAACACCAGCUCGCAUCCUUAAACCAGCCCUUCUGAGCACUGACAGCUGGCAUUAAGAGGCAGGGCAAGGCAAGAAGGAGUCGAGCAGGAAGAGAGGAAAUCAGCGGCUUAUCACAUUUACAUCCUUCUUAAGUGAUGCUUCAUGGUUGUUUCAGCACAAUGUUGCUGACAAAAUUAGAAAUGGUAGUCAAGCCUUUGGCGACAAAUAUUAUGGAUCUGUGAUGUAUGCUUCCGAAGAACCCGUAUUUAUUUCCAAACAGAUCAUAUUUCCUGUUUGGACUCUUCUUCUUGCCUUCUCUUUCCUCAAGAUUUUGACACAAUGCGGAGAGGUUAACCAAAAAAAAAAUGCCAGCAUAUUCCAUUUUUCUAGGGCUCCAUCUCUGUCAUUGAAGUGGGCUUAAGGUCUUGAUCCAAGCUUUGUCAACCACCUUGUCUUAUUGUGACUUUUUUAAUGUUUGAACAUUACACAUGCCCUUUCAAAUCACAGCUGUUCAACAUCACCCCACUGAUUUUUUUUUUUUUUUUUUACCUUCUGAGCUACUGCCUGUGCUCACUACACUUCAAUUAUCUCUUGCACUAUAUUAAACAUGCUAUUCAACAUUCCCUAAUCACACCGCAAUCAUAAGCCUCUAUACAUUAGCAGCAAUGAAGUGAAAAAUCACAGGAAUAAUCACCUGGACCCAAUGAUGGCAGAGAUAGUUCCCAACAUGCACAUGCGUGACAGAAGGAAGAUUAGGGAGAAUUAUGUCUGUGCCUACUCCUUGGCAAGGCUGCUGACAGCUGACCUGGCAUCACUAACACAGCCACAUUUACCAGGAGAGUGGAUGGGGAAUGCGAAACAAAACAAUCCAUAUUGGCCUUAAAAUUACAGAGCAGAUUGGCAGUGCCAAAAACUAAAAUAGUAGUGCAAAGUAAAGCAAAGCAUUAGCUUUCCCUGCUCAACAACUGUUCCAAAAACAGUUGCUUAUAAAAUGGGUCAAAACCAACAAUUUUGUGGGAAAUGUCCAAUCCUGCUCUAGUAGCAGCUGAGAGUCCUGUGUAUCCGCAACAAAAUUGCUUCUCAGCAGUUGGCAAUAGAGGUCAACCAAUUUUACAAAACAACUUGCUCAGACUUGUUUCUUUUCUGCUAAGAGACCUCCAAAGCACACUUUUGCUCAACUGUAACAUAAUAUGCAGAAGCACAGCUCUUCAGAGAAGAAUGAUGUCCAACAAAUUGUUUAUUUUGUAAUGGAAUUAUUACAUACAAUUUCUUCUUGUACUUUUUCCCUCCGUAACCUUUGGUUUAAAUGCCGAAGAAUGCAUGAAGUGAGUUAGAAAAAGGCUGCAUCCUCUGAACAGUUUGUGUUUAUUAUCUUUUUGAAGCAGAAGCCGUCAGUUGGCAGAGUAAUGUUCAAUGAGCAAUUGAAUGUUCCAUGCUUGUCUUGGCAAUCCCUAAAAUACACUCGGUAACAUAAAUCUUGCAUGCAUGCUCCACUGAACUUUUCCGUUUUAAAUCAGAUGCUGUAGUGUUUCCUCUCCUAAUAGCAGGUUGAGUCCCCAGUGAGCCAAAAUCCAGCCCGGCUUAGCCUCCUGCUGUCUAGCUUGGCUGAUAGUGCAACGUUCAUGUAGCAUGUACCUGCUAUGCCAGAGCUAAAUUAGGAAAUGAGAAACCAGCACUUGAACACUUUUAACAAGGGUGUUCCGAUUACCUUUACACCCUGGGAAGGAUGGUGCUGAAGUGUUGAGCAUUGAAAGCAGAGUCUGUGGUGUAUGUGCACUAGAGCUACCAAAAUGAGACGGAAAGUUUGUUUUUAGAGUUUUAUAUUGCUUGUUGAAAUUUUAAAUCUGCUUUUCUUUCAGUCUCUGAACCCUAAAAAGUGACAACUACUAAGUUACCAAAUUGUGAUUUUGCAUAUACCCUGAAAAGUUAUAUAGGUAAAGGUUAGUUGGAAGUUGGAACUUUGUCUCUAAUAAUACAGAACUAAGUAAAAGUUUUCAUACAACUUGGACUUUAUCAGACUUGCUAUGUCACAUCCAUAAGCUUCAAAGUAAUUUGUUAGCAUUUUUCACAUGCAAUGCCUUGCAGUGCAUUCAUUAUGAAAUGGAUGUAAAAGCACACAUCGUUUUCAAUAUUGAUCUACAAACUUUAAAACUCUAAAAGUGUGGAGUACAGAUGUAUUCACCACCCCCCAAGUUAACACAUAGUAGAAUCACUGUUUGAUGCAGUCACAUUCAGAGGGAUAUUUCUAACAGCUUUGCACAUCUGGCAGACACUGUCCGCCUUGAAUGGGUCAUUUUAUCACAUUAAUAUGCUUUGACCAAAACCACUGCAUUGCAGCUCUGCCUGGAUGUUCAAGCCUGUUGUCCUUUGGGACGUUAAGCCUUUGCCUCAGUCUUUUGUGGCCCUAACAUGUUUUAUUUUCUAGCCCCUGCCCUUAGAUCCAUCUUUCUUUAUAUGAACUCCAACAAAUUACCCUGCUUAGUGAUGUAAAGAAUUUCCACAGCAUGAUCCAGCCAUCACCAUGUUCUUUGAUGGAGACCAUGGAUUUCUUUUCUGAUUAAUUCUUUCAGGCUGGUCAAUUUAGGAAGAUGCUUUUGAUCUGUUUGCUGUUCCUUAGUUUUCUUGAUGUUGUUUUUUUUUUUUUUUUCUCUCUCUCUCUAACAAACCCCUGAGAUCUUUACAGAACAGUGUAAUCAAAUUACACUCAGCAUACUAAAAUUUACAGAGAUUAUCAAUUAUGUGGUUUUUGAAUGAAUGUGGUUGCAUUAAAUUUAUGAGGUGCAUCUUUAUAAUGGGGUUGAAUGCAUUUGCACAGCUCACUUUUCAUAUUUAAAUUCACACACAAAAAAAAAAUCCCAAAUAAUCCCAAUAAACUUUAGUGAAUUUGUAGAUGUUAGGUGAAAAAAAUGUAGCAACAAUCAUUUGUUUCUACAUUUUACAUCAGAGUGAACAGGACUUUACUCUGAUGUGUCAUGAUUUAUGAAAUGAAAUAUUGCUUUAGCUCUGAUUUGCUCUAUUAACAAGAACUUAUAAAAAGGUUUCUAAAUUGAUGAGAUGUUUUAGCAAGGAAAUAAGAAAAAUGCAUGCAUAUUAUUACUUACAAGGCUUGUUGUUUAGCGUUGCAUAUAUUCUAGGAGGAAUAGAGUGGAAUAUGAAUAUCCAACCCACUGGGUGCAUAACACUGAAAUAGUGGUGAUUGUCAAGGAAAGGAAGCAAAAUGUAAUUGACUGAAAGCAGAGAGAUAAUUAAAGGAACCUGUUGGACAGGAGGGAAGAAAUUAAUGCCUCUCAUUUAAUGGCUGCAUUGGGAAAGAGCUGUUCCAUCGUCUCAUUUUGGCACCUAAAAGGGUUUUGCUCUGGAAAUUGAAUUUUGGAUAGAAAAAGAUGGUGGGUGGGAAUAGUGGAAACAGGCACUGGGUGGUGUUGGUGCUGGUGGGGGGAUGCUGCGUGCUAAACUGAAACUCCACAAAAUCGCUCCCAAUGCUCAGGGCAUCAGGCACAAUGAUGUCAUGAUUAGUGGAGAGGUUCAGAGCCUUGCCUUACCCCUGAUCCUGAAAAGGUUGAGCAGACAAAUAGGCAGACAGUGUGAGGCAGCAGAGAGGACUGAUAUAUCAACAAAUUCUGGGAUUGGACCUAAAUGGUCAUAAUUCAAUUCCAAGAGUAACAAAAACACAUCUUAAUAUCCACCAAAAUGCACAGAAAAAGACUUAAGGUGUGUGUGGCAAUAUUUAACAACACCAAGAAAUAAAGGUCAAGUCUUUUUUUUUCUGUAUUAAUGUAAAUAGCAUUUGAAACACUAAUAAGGGCAAGGCUCUAUAGCAACUUGUGUUGAGAAGCUCAACUCUGUGGGACAAUGAUGUCACUAUAAAAUGUAUCCACAGCAGUGCAGGGAUUUAGGAGAGUUUAAGUCCUCUUAAGCCCCUUAGGUUUGGGCUGUGAACAUGCAUCCUACAACCGUAAGCGUCGGACCAAGGCUUAGAAAUUAUUUGACUUAGUGUCAGACCUAAGCCAUGGCCCCAAAGUGAUCCGUUAAUUAAGAUUCCGUGUAUACCGUCAUGUCAUGAUUUUUCUGACAGAAGAAAGAUUGCCAGUGCAGUAAUUGGAUUAGUCCAAUUGGGGCUGAUGAACAGAUAUGGCAGUGACAGUAGAGUUCAUCCGUCUGUAUGAACGCUCCGUGCUUGACAAUUUAGAGGCAAAAAAGGAGAAGAAAACAUCAGCUACGAGUAGACUUUUAGAAAUUAAUCACAAGAAAACGUUUAGGCUUUUGCAGCAGUUACAGAGGCUUUUCCUCUCCAGGUACCAGUUUGUUUAGCAUGUACAUAAACCAUUUUGGAUUCAAGCAUUUAUUACACAAGGUUUGAAACUAUACAUAAAUGGUUAGGCUGACACUGGAGGAACGGACAAACAACAAAGCAAUCCCAGCAGAACCCCUUAUUGCUUGAUCCAGUCUGCCACUGUUCUCCUAACCAGACAGCUGCAUUAUACCUGUACAUACAAUAUAGCUUAUUUUUAAAUUCUGUUUAUCUUUCUUUAUAGGUCGUACAUUAGAUCAUGUUCAAACGUAAAAAAAAAAAAAAAAAAAAAAAAAAAAAAAAUUAAAAUAAAAGAAUGGCUAAUAUAUUUCAGUGAAACUGAGAAAAGGUACAUAUUGAAUAAUUUAUCAAAAGCAGAAGAUAAAAUGUUUUUAUUUCUUGUAAAGUAAAACACUGUUGUUUAAAAAGGGGGAUUUUAUACUCAUAUCAGUAAAUGUUUCUUUAUUUUUUUCACUCCAUUGUGUUAUUAACCGCUGAAGCUGGGCAAACCCGUUGUCACAAGGUUUAAUCGGAUAUCCUUUGAUCGUUUUUCUUUAUUUUUUGGGCCGUACAAUCCCUGUGUGAAAUCCCCUGUGGAUGGACGAGUUCAAAGAGAUUUUUCACUCUGAAAGCUUUUAAAUCAAUACAAGAAUUAGCAAACUGCACUGUAAAAGGAUGAUUGAUGGACCUGGUCCGUGGAUUCAGAAAAAAAGAGUUUAUUGCACAACUGAGUCCUAAUGGUUUGGGGUUGUUGGAAAAAAGAAAAAAAAAAUGUAUUUGCGACCUUGUUUCAAAGCAAAGAAAAUAUAACUUCAAACAAAACAAAGAGAAAAGGGGAAAAAACAGACAAAAAAUAUCAAAUUUUGCCAUCCUAUUGGUUUUGGGACCUAUGCUGUCAUAUAUUAAUGUCUUUUAACCACUGUUGGUGUCCUGUAACAGUGCCCUUUUUAUGUCUUUAUUCUUUUCAGGGUUAUUUGUCAUCAUUGACAUAUCUCUGAGUUUCAUAUUCUCUGCUCCUUCCUAAGGGAUGUUUCAACCACAGCUUCUUACUUAAUGUGACUCAGUCCACUAAAGACACUGUGCCAACAGUAGAUCAUGUGACACCGCUUUGCUCCAGUCGAAUCGGUUUGUAAAAGUGAGUUGGGAAUUCUGCCUUAAACCCAGCACUACCUGUGAAGAGUGGUCAGACACUUUAUUCUGAGGAUGCCAAAAGCUCUUUAAAGCAAACAUUUAGCCAGAUUCAGUUUUAGCCUCAAGCCCAUUGUGACACAAAUAUGGAUGUGGUUGUCCACCUCCAUUUCCAUUGGUUACAAGGACCAAAAUGUAAACAAGCUCAGCUAGAGCUGAGCAGUUUGCUUCAAUCAAGCAUUCAUUGAGAACCUUUAAAGUGUUCAUUAUUCUACGUUCAUAUUUUUUGUAUUAUAAACCAUUACAUUCCCAGCUUCACUAUGUAAUUUCAGUUUUUAUUAAAUGUUCAAAAUUUAUAAUAAUUUUCUUAGGUAUUUUAAAAAUAAUCAUGCUUUUUUUUUUUUCUUUGAGCUAAUGUUUCUGUUUUUUUGUUUCAAACAGAAAUGUAAUUUAAAUACCGCUGGCUGGGGCCCGUUUCCCUGGUUCGGGAUGAUAUCUCCCAUAGUGAUCCUGAACUCUGUAGUUCUCUAGUUAUUAUAUUCUGCUUAGACUAAAAUAAAGCACAGUCCUGUAGAAGACGAAAACUCUUUUGUCUCUGUUAUUUAUUCAAAGCACCCUGUUAAGAAUGCAUCUAUAGGGUAUGGAUUUAUCAUGUCUUGUGCAGAGGUUUAAAUGAGUAUGUGUCCUAAUGUUACAUGGAUUGCAGAGGGCAUGUCAUUGUAUUAAUUGAGCUAACAGCUCUAACCAUAUCCGAAUACCAAAUUAGAUAAGACGGUUAGUAGAGAAUAGUUUAAAAAGGGCGAAUAAUGCAUAAUGAAUGGAAGGGAGAUUGAAAGAGGGAGGGGAAUAAAUUGUGAAUUGAUUAAAGGGAAAUGGAUAUUCAGCUCUUGUCCUCAAAAGAUUUUACAGUAGAAACAAUAUCAGAUUCUAUGAGUACUGCUCGUUAUCAUCUGUAACUAAGUAGGAGGAAAACAAUUAAUUAAAGCUUUGUCUCUUACUUCUCCAAUGGAAAACACUACACUAAAAAAUGCCAUAUAUAAGUGAGAAGAGUCAUUUCUCAGUGUUUUCUGGUUUCCUCCCACACACCAUGCAAACUGUUAAGAUGAGUUACUGCUCACUGAUGAUUCUGAAUACGAUAAAAGAUGGUAUUUUUUUUUCUCUUAGCAAUAAUUAAAAUCUCAUUCUAGGAGACAAAUGCUAACCUGAAAAUAAAUGAAAAAGUACUUGCCUCCUCAACCUAAUGACUGGAUGUUGAUGGCUACUCCCAUGUAGUAUUUUUCUUUUCUUUUUUUUUUUCUUAUCAUUUAGAGGUGGACUUUCUGCUAUGCUUAUUAUCAUCCUAUUGCAUAGCUAAAAUAAGCUUUAGAUUCAAGUCAGAUUGCUGGGAAUUCUCGUUCAGAAUUUUCUGGUAGAAAGUGUAACUCAUAGUACCAUCAAUUGAAUAUCAACCAGGUCCGGAAGCACCAGAGCAUGCAAUCGUGUGCAGCUGAUUGUGUCACCUUGUUUAAAUGUCUUCUUAUUUGCAUUGUUCGGAGUUUGGUUUAAUGUAAUGGGUCACACAUCUUACAAAAUGUUUUACUUUUGUCUCAUUAUUCCAUAUAUUUUACAAAACAUAAAGAUGCCACUUUUUGAUUCUCUUUCUUGUUGUUUACUUGUAAACAUUGGCAGUUAAGGCCUGAAGUGCUUUGCAUGUUGUCCUUAGUUCUUUUGUGACUUCAUUUUCACUACUCAAAUUACUGCAUUUUGGAUUUACUCUGGUUAUGUUUGCAGAACAUUAACAUGUUUUUAUCCUUAACAAUUAAGUUUGACAGAAAAAAAACAAAAAAAAAACAGUAGUAUAAAUCUACUUCUUCACUGCACUUAUACUUUAAGUACAGAAAGCGAGUGAGAACUAAGCCUAAACACCAAAGGACAAUGAGAAAAAUAGGUAUUUUUUUCAGCCCUGGUUUUAAUCAAUACUGUUUUCGCUAUGCACCACACAGGGAUGCACCUGAUUUACAUUGGCUGGACAAAAGCAACAGAAAAUUAUUUUAUAAGAGGAAACUUAACUGAACUUGCUUGUUGUUUGAAAUGUGCUACCCCCUUACGUAUCUACACCCUGAAUGGUGUGCCAUGUCACUAACAUCAGAAACCACCACUGCCAUCGGGAGGAAAACUGUCAUACUAUCUGUUUUCUGAAUAGAGUGUAUUACACUAGGAAACGUCAAUGGCCAAGCCAUCCCAAGACACAUAACAUAAUUUCUUGUUGAUGAGUCUCUUUUGUGUAUCUGUGUAGCACCAUUGGUGAAGAAACAGAUUUAUGGUUGCUAAAUUUGCAGGUGAUAAAAAGGUAAUGAGUGGUCAGUUGGGGCACUAACUCUUACCCAUUCACAUGCUGACUUCUGAGCAGAGUCCUUGGAGACUGUCUCUCAUUGUGUUGCGAGACAGUCCGUGAUUCCACAUGACAAACUGGAUUGUUCCUGGAGCGAGUCCUGCUGAAUUAUUUUGGUCCUUUCGAUUGCAUCUCCUACUCCUGAGAUUUUCCCCGACGGUUGCCUUUGAGCCAUAAGCCUCGACAGCCACCGUUGUCGAUACUCAAUCUGUUCUGUAACCCCUAAAGCUGAUGAAAUGUGCUAACAGGCGUUUGUUUGUUUGUCUCUGGUAGGGGGACCAGGGGAAAGAAAAUGGAACAACAAGACUCUUUUGACAGUUCCAUUUUUUGCGAUGUUUUGGUGUAAGGGAUAAUCAUG